rnacentral:rRNA from 1 species
UACGAAGGGGGCUAGCGUUGCUCGGAAUUACUGGGCGUAAAGCGCACGUAGGCGGACUGUUAAGUCGGGGGUGAAAUCCUGGGGCUCAACCUCAGAAUUGCCUCCGAUACUGGCAGUCUCGAGUGCGGGAGAGGUGAGUGGAAUUCCCAGUGUAGAGGUGAAAUUCGUAGAUAUUGGGAAGAACACCAGUGGCGAAGGCGGCUCACUGGCCCGUAACUGACGCUGAGGUGACGAAAGCGUGGGGAGCAAACAGG